rnacentral:rRNA from 1 species
CAGCACUAUUGAUUGAUGGAGUUGAAGCUCGUAGUCGGAUUUCUGAUGAAGACCAGGUCCUGCCAUAUUAAUACAUGCGUACCGGUCAGUUCUUGAUUCCGACACCGCGGCACUCUUAACUGAACGAGCAGGGAACACCGAUCGCUUACAUUAAAUAAACAGGAUGAUUCAAGCAAGCCGCUCGAUCUUGUCUGCUAGAACAAGUAAUAAUUGACUAGGACGCCAUUUCUAUGUUGGCGGACCCAAACACCGAUAAUAAUGAUUACUUGGGCGGAUCUCGAUCUCUUUGACUCAGGCGAAAUUCUUGAAUUUCUCAAACCAAAGCAACACCAACCACUUUUACCACGGUUGUUUUGGUUGUUCUCAAUGAAAAAUAACGAAAGCUAAGAGAACUAAAACCCUCCGAAACCUUCACAAUCAUAUAUGCCAACCCUGGAUACUAAGAAUUGGCGUAUGUUCCUUUCUACCUCCUGAACGACAUACCAAAGACUUUGGUCUCCGGGGGCAGGAUGGACUCUGGGCUCAAACCAGNGCAUUAACGGUUUGACGG